ACAGCUCAGUUGGUAGAGCAUGAGACUCUUAAGCUCAAGAGUCGUGGAUUCAAGCCCCAUGUUGGGCA
rnacentral:tRNA from 1 species